CUCCGUGGUUGCCUCUAUGUAGUAGAAUGGAGAUUAAUGCAGCCGCCAGGCCCGAAGGCAGGCUCCUUCCUGGAUGAGCAGGCGAGGAUGGCAGCGUUGUCUUUGGAGCCAGGGGAGCAGUGGUGGAAGCUGAAGGCCAGGCCAGGCUCCGUGGGGACGAGACCCCUCCAGUGGCGGUGGUGGCAGGAGAGAUCCCAAGGCUGGAGCGGAUUGAGCGUGAUCCCACGGUGACGUCCCACGUCCUCUUGGGUGUUGUGAAUGGUUGCGUGUUUGAAUGACUGUGUGGGAAUUACUGAAUCCGUCAAUGAAGUAACACACGCGAACGAGGCACAGAGACUCCGUCACGGACCAGUGAUGAGGCGCGUGACGGGAAGAGUCCUGAAGGAUGAAAGCAUCUCUGAAACUCUGAGGGUGAAGGCGUUAGAGAUGGUUGAACACCUGCCACGGGCACGGGCUCCGUGGUUGCCUCUAUGUAGUAGAAUGGAGAUUAAUCAGGCAGCCGCCAGGCCCGAAGGCAGGCUCCUUCCUGGAUGAGCAGGCGAGGAUGGCAGCGUUGUCUUUGGAGCCAGGGGAGCAGUGGUGGAAGCUGAAGGCCAGGCCAGGCUCCGUGGGGACGAGACCCCUCCAGUGGCGGUGGUGGCAGGAGAGAUCCCAAGGCUGGAGCGGAUUGAGCGUGAUCCCACGGUGACGUCCCACGUCCUCUUGGGUGUUGUGAAUGGUUGCGUGUUUGAAUGACUGUGUGGGAAUUACUGAAUCCGUCAAUGAAGUAACACACGCGAACGAGGCACAGAGACUCCGUCACGGACCAGUGAUGAGGCGCGUGACGGGAAGAGUCCUGAAGGAUGAAAGCAUCUCUGAAACUCUGAGGGUAAAAUACAUGGACAGAAAAAAGAAUAAUUUAUGGUUUAAUACUUUGUAAGUGACAUACAGGAAACAGAGACCAGUGCCAAUUACGUCCUAAUACCUUUGUCAUCGUCUGUUCUGUGUGCUGCCCAGAAUGAAGGAACUGGAGUAAUUUAGCAUCUUCCGUGGACGUGAGCUCUGUGGUCACCUCUGCAUAGUCUGAGGAUGGAAAUUAAUGUGCGUUAAUAGUUGAAGUGCUUUUCUCAGAAUGGUUUUUUUAUCAGAGUAAUUCACUGUAUUAUUAAGAAAUGUGAAAUAUAAGUACAGGAGGCAGCUGC